UACAGAGGUCUCAAGCGUUGUUCGGAUUCAUUGGGCGUAAAGGGUGCGUAGGCGGCGCGGUAAGUCGGGUGUGAAAUCUCGGAGCUUAACUUCGAAACUGCAUUCGAUACUGCCGUGCUUGAGGACUGGAGAGGAGACUGGAAUUUACGGUGUAGCGGUGAAAUGCGUAGAUAUCGUAAGGAAGACCAGUGGCGAAGGCGGGUCUCUGGACCUCUUCUGACGCUGAGGCGCGAAAGCCAGGGGAGCAAACGGG
rnacentral:rRNA from 1 species